AUGUUCUCAGUUGGUGGAGGUGCAAUAGUUCUAAGUUCCCAAUCUUGUCAGAACUUGCUAGAGAUGUUCUAGCAAUUCAAGUCUCAUCAGUGGCUUCUGAGUCAGCUUUUAGUACAAGUGGUCGAGUGUUAGACUCUUAUAGGAGUUCCUUAACUCCUUACAUGGUUGAGGUUUUGAUAUGUGCACAGCAAUGGCUAAGGUGUUCAUAUAAGUCAGAAGCACAAGUAUCAAACUUGGUGCAAAUGUUGGAAGAGGUUGAGUUUCUGGAAUCUCUUGAUUCUCGGAAUUCAGUGGCAGCUCCUCCAUGAUUCUACAAAGUAUGGUAGUAGAUAGGAAGCUGCUCUUUUGCCUACUUUUGGAUGCGGAUUGGCAGCCUUAACAGAGGACUGGAUAUAACUGACUUGGAAGCCGAUUUUUUGAGUACUUUUUGAUGCAGAUUAUCAUGCUUCGUGUAACUUCUACAACUUUCUAAUAGUUACUAACGUACAUGAUGUAAUGCUAGCUUUAAACUUGAUACAAUGCUAGCUGAGCAGCUUCUUUAAUGGUUUGUAAAGCUUCCUAGAUGAGAAGCAACCAUAUUUUUAAGCUUUUGUACUU